GUAAAAUAGACAGGCAUCAGUCAAUACAUUUUGACUUAGAUUAUAUAAUGAUAUUCUAAUGGACAAAAAGAAAGAAAAUUAAGGGUCAAAAUAAUUUUCUUUGCAAAUAUCCAUGAAUAAUACAAUUUUAUAUUAUACACAAAAAUAUGAAAUAAGAGAGCUGCCUAAAAAUAAAGGAAAGAUAAUGUUUUGGAGGAGAUAAAAGGGUGACCUUAAAUGUGCCCAGUCUCUUGGACUGCCCAAGGCUCCCACGUGAUCAGUCAGAAUCUGUCAGAGUUAGGAAUGGUAAUAAUAUCCUGGAAUGGGAGUGAGGACUGGACAGAAGAGUUGGUACCCUAGAUAUCCUUCAAUGGUACACUACUACAUGCAUUAUGUUGUCUCCAAGAAAUGGGACCCAGAGUGAGCUGCUUUCCAAUGCCCUUCCUUGGCAGACUCCAUUGACCUGAAAAGCUACCCUGACUCAGAAGUCAUCCCCAGGCUUCUGUUGUCCCGUGAAGCUUGUCCAUGAGCAAUAACCCCAUGCCAUGUACCUGGUCAUAUAUGUGAGUGGCUCUUCACCAGACUCAGAAGCUGGCAGACACUGAGUAAGCUUCAUUAGCUUACAUCCCAGACACACAACACAGUAAGGGGAAAAACAGCAUCAGUGAGAUUACGAAAUGCAAACAAAACAACAACAAAAAGAAUACUUUUCUUCUUGAGCCAGGACCCCAAAAAAAGUAGUUAUUAAAUAAUUUUGUGUUAAGAUCUUUCCCUUUCUUGAGUGAGAAAACACUCUGUGUCAGUUUGUUUAGCAAAGUCUAUGAAAUCUUUGAGAGUAAGUUCUAGAAAAUCCUUCAAGUAAGGACGAUAAGUAUUCAUGGUCAUCUAGGUAGUAUUUCAAACUGUAUCCAAGAAAUAUUUAGUGCUAAAGAUGUUUUUACCACUAUUUCAAUACAUUGGAAAAUUAAGGGUUGAUAGGAGAUAACUCAUUUUUCUUUAUUACACGACUUCUUUGAGCCUUAAAUAUCAUGUGUCUCAUAGUUUGCAAAAGAAAAGUACAGGCUGGAGUGAGAGCCCAAUGUAUAGAGCAUACACCACUCUUCUAGAGGACAUGAGUUCAGUCCCAGCACCCACUCUGGGUGGUCACUCCAACUCUGGGGAUCCAACGCCUUUGGCCAGUGAAGGCACUUGCACUCACCUAGAUAUACAUACCCAUCACCAUAUAUGUAGUUAAAAUUAUAAAAAUAAACCUUUUAAAAAUCCAAUCUUAAAAAAAACUUAAAAAUCUUUGAUAGUACAGAAUAUACCCCAAAUGUAUUGUAGACUGUUCGACAUCAAGAUUAGUGUUAAUUUAACAUUGGGAAAUCUCAAUCAGGCUUUAAAUUGAAACUACAAUGGGAAAAUAAAUAUCUCUGUGAACUACUCCACCCUUGGGGACACUUCAAAUUAACAGGCACAGCCCUCACUGAGACCUCAAGACUGCCCCUUGGCCAUUGCUCCUGCAUGAAUGUCUGCUAUAGAUCUGGUGGGGUCACGGUCCUUGGUGUGGGCACGACCUCAGAGUGGGUGUCACAGCCUUGGUUAGGUAAGCCCCUUUCUAUAAAACCUUGAACACUAUCUAUGCUACCCCAGGAGACAGGCAGAUGUUGGAUAUAUGAUGAUGGGGAGGAAACAUUUUCUUCAUGACAAGAAUCUUCCUGGUCUGAAGGAUCCUCCAAGCUGUGCACGGAACAAGACACUGGAGGACCCAGGCCUAGACCUGAGCCACUGUCUGCGCUGUGCUGCUCCUUUUGUUAUUCCUGGGGCCACAAUGCAUUCCUUUUGAACGUCGUGCUUUGAGCACUGGCCAGCUGGCUACAGAGACAAAGACACACUCCCAAGGCUGCCGAUGAAGAGUGGCCAGGACGACCACACAGUGGGCAGCAGUAGUAGGGUGUGGGCGUGAUUUUUCCUUUAAGAAAACUCCGCAGCAGCUUUGCAGUUUGAUGCUCAUGACUAAGAAAUCAGAUUUUGUAAAAGAACCAGCACAAAAUGAGGAAGGAUAACCAUGGAAAUGCUUCUGUUCUGAGCUCCGUAGAGAAGCCUGAAGUAACAUGAGGCCUAGAAGUAACACGAGGCCUAGUAUCUUUUCAAUCUACAGGCCUCAGAAUGAGGGAGCUGCAGAUUUAAUGAAGAAAGCCUGAUUCCUAGGCUUGAAGAGUGGGCUUACUAGGCUAUAACAUGUGAAAGAAAUGCUUUCUUAAUUCUGACUACAGGUAGGAUAGCUGGCUCAACUAAACUUAGCGCCUAGCACUCUCUGGGAACUUUGCACCUCUGCUCCUGCUAGGAAUGGGUGGAUCUCAGCAUUCUUUCUAGUGCUAUGAUUUACUCCGUAUCUUUCUUGUUUUUGAGAACACAAUUGGAAUUGAGCUUAGUGUCAGCUUUUUAACUUCAUAGGAAAAAGAAAAACAUGGUUUUCAUAAUGAUUUGAUCUCAUUAUCUAUUAAAAUUACACCAGAUAUACUCUGUCCUCUUUUCAAGUCUAGGAAAUGACAUUCAUAAAAAUGGCGACAUGACAUAGAUGAAUGCUAAACCCAAUUAUUUUAUUAAUCAUUAAGGUCCACCGCAAAGCAAAACAUUUUUCUUUUCAUUUAAUUCAUUACUUGAAACUGGAUGAGGUAAUUCACUGUGGUAAACAGCAGAGAUAAGUGCUGUCUCUGACAGGCUCUCCUGGGCCUGAAUCGACUCCGCUUAGGAGGGCCUCGUUUCUUGCCCACCACAUCUGGCCAUACAGACAUAAAUGCCUGAGAUUAUGUAUGUGAGUGUGGUUCUGAGACCAACCCAAAUGAAACUUCAAGGAGUAAUUACCUAAAAAGCUGAAAGCAAUUAAGGGUACUAUGCUUUCCCCAAUUAUCCUGAGGCUGAAAGAAGAGUCCCUGUGAAGUCACAGUAUCUGAACUGUUGUUUUCCUGGGCAGCAACACAGACGAUAACUCCCAUUAGACUACAGCCUGCGGAUGAAGGACCUCUGUCACUUAGCAGGUACACCAAGGACAAACCAGGCUCAAUUCAGAAGCAUAGCUAUUGGGAGAAAUAUGUACCACUUCACUGCUGCACACACCGCAGUCUAAACUCACAUAUUCAUAACUAAGGCAAUUAGCAACAACAGAAGAACCAAAAGUUCCUAAAGCCUGGAUGAGCUCAAUAGAAGGUGCAGGCAGGGAGAUCAAGUGCUGAAGGCCAUCCCUGGCUAUGUAGUGAGUUCAAAGCUAACAUGGGUUGCAGGAGACCAUGUCUCAAAAAACCAAAUAAGCAUGAAACCAAAGAUCUCAAACCCUAGAGUGAGGACAUUAAACUACACAUCAGAAGUUUCAAAAAAACUCAAUUUCAUGAUUUACAUACAAGUAGAUAGAUAUUUGACACAUUUGUCAAAAUGGCAGAAUUGGGUGGAGCUUGGCCUUUUCGAUAGUCUUUUAUACUGCUUGCUUUUCUGACACAUUGAUGAUUAGCAUUACAUAUAAAACAUAAGAUAAUGUGCUUAGAAGGAAAACUUAUUAUUUUGGGGGAAAAAAAGCAAACCUAUCCCAAUAUUAAAAUAAAUUGACAUGUCCUCUAAUCUCUGCCCCCUGUGUUUUCACGUUACCUGGAGUCUUUCUCAAAGAUAGUUCCAGGGACUUAGUGAAUAAAAUGCCAGGUGACACUAUGAACUUCUAGGUGACUCUAUGAACCGCCAGGUGACACUAUGGAUAACCAGGUGACACUACGAACUACCAGGUGACACUACGGACUGUCAGGUGACAGUAUGGACCACCAGGUGACACUAUGGACCGCCAGGUGACACUAUGGAUCACCAGGUGACACUAUGGACCACCAGGUGACACUAUGGAUCACCAGGUGACACUAUGGACUGUGAGGUGACACUAUGGAUCACCAGGUGACACUAUAGACCGCCAGGUGACACUAUGGACCACCAGGUGACACUAUGGACCGUCAGGUGACACUAUGGACCAGGUGACACUAUGGACCACCAGGUGACACUAUGGACUGCCAGGUGACACUAUGGACCAGGUGACACUAUGGGCUGCCAGGUGACACUAUGGAUUACCAGGUGACACUAUAGACCAGGUGAUACUAUGGACCAGGUGACACUAUGGACCACCAGGUGACACUAUAAAUCACCAGGUGACACUCACCCUGAGUCCACCUGCUGGUGGCCCCGAUGUUUCCAUCUGCUUUUC